CCUACGGGAGGCAGCAGUGGGGAAUAUUGCGCAAUGGGCGAAAGCCUGACGCAGCAACGCCGCGUGAGGGAUGAAGGUCUUCGGAUCGUAAACCUCUGUCAGCAGGGAAGAACGGUCACUGUGCUAAUCAGCAGUGAAUUGACGGUACCUGCAAAGGAAGCACCGGCGAACUCCGUGCCAGCAGCCGCGGUAAUACGGAGGGUGCGAGCGUUAAUCGGUAUUACUGGGCGGAAAGCGCUCGUAGGCGGUAUGUCAAGUCAAGGGUGAAAUCCCCGCGCUCAACGUGUGAACUGCCUUUGAUACUGGCAAACUGGAGUGUGUGAGAGGAUAGUGGAAUUCCAGGUGUAGGAGUGAAAUGCGUAGAUAUCUGGAGGAACAUCAGUGGCGAAGGCGACUAUCUGGCACAUAACUGACGCUGAGGAGCGAAAGCGUGGGUAGCAAACAGGAUUAGAUACCCGAGUAGUC
rnacentral:rRNA from 1 species